rnacentral:lncRNA from 1 species
CGGGCCUGAGACCGGCUCUGGUCCCUUGGCUUGGGGGCGCUUCUGCGUUUAGGGGCCGGAGGUCCUCGGGCUGCAGGCUCUCAGGGGUCUUCCCAUCCAGGGCGGGUUUGGGCCUUGUGCUGGCGAUGUUCAGACUGUAGAGCUGCUGAGGGCUGCCAGCCACCCUGCCUGCCCGCCGGACACGAGCCUGCAUGAGGUUGCUUCCCGCUGGGGUUUGGGGGCUGCUGCCCUUGCUGGGGACGCUGCUCAGGGCCUGCGCUCUGGGGAGAGGGGCCUCGGUCACCCCUUUCCCAGCCUGCUGCACCUGGGUCUUGGGGUCGUCCAUGGCCUGGACCCUGCUCCCCAUGGCCUUGGUGGUCCUGUUGGCCAGGGCACUGAUCUCUCCGGGGGGCCGCAGGGGGCCUCCUGUGCCACUGGCCGCCGGGCAGGGCUGCAGGUCUCCGGUCAUGGUUGGGGGUGGCGCUCCGAGGGGCUGCUCCCCAGGCAUGGCCCCUCCGUCCUGGGCGCUAGGAGGAUGCUGUGGUCCGAGGAGGGCCGCAGAAAGCGGGCUGGGCAGCCAUCCUGGCCCCUCGAGGAGCCCUGGAGAAGCCUGCUUGCAUGGUCCUGACUGGAGUCUGCAAGGAAAGGACAGGAUCACAGGUUCCUGUGGUUCGAGAGUCUGAAGUGAGAGGUCUCCACAAUGCCCCCAUCUCUACCCCCAGCCCACGGACGCUCUUUCCCUGCCUUGCUGGGUCAGCACAGGAAGCAGCUUCUUGUGUUUCUUUCCAGAGUUUCUUGAUGCAAAUACCAGCAAAUGUAAAUAAAUAUUUCCAUCUCCCCGCUUUCUUCAACAAGAGAUAGUCCACUGCACACACUGUGCCUCCCUUUUUGCAUUUAACAGUGAACCUUGGUGGUACCUCCACAGCACCCCAUAGAGCAACUCCUGGCUGAUAUCUGUCUAUCCACCUUUCCACCAACACACGGCUAUAGAACAUUCUGCGGAACAGCUAAGCCUACACCCAGACCCUUCUGGGUGGACGGAUGCUGGGUUGCCCUCUCUGGGCCUUUGUAAGUAGUAAAGCAAUGAACAUGUGUAAGGAGACCAGCAGAACAAACCCAAAGAAGAAACAGCACGGUCAAGGGCAAACGCACUUGUGAUCUAAAGACACUGUCAGGUAACCACUGCUGUGGUUUCAACAUUUGGCCAAAUGUUGAAACCACAAUGCUUUGAUCCUUCUCCCUCCAAAAGGUGGAGCCCAAGUCCCUCCCCUUCAACAGGGGCUGGACGUGGCGACUGGCGGCUGAUGAAAAGAAUACCUGCCCAAAUUCCAGACCCACAGAAACCCUUAGAUUUCAAGCUGCUGUCUGUCACUCAGCAUUAGGGAACUACUAGGACAACUCUUGGUGGUUGUGCUGACUCGCAUCCCCCCCGAGAUGUGGAGAUUUCUGGCAUCACAGGGCGGAAAGCGUGCCCUUGCCUGGAGUGGGGCAGGCCAAGUCCUGGGGAGGGCCUACAGGAGGCAGAGAUCUUCCCUGCAGCUUCCCAUUCACUCACUCACUCACUCACUGAUUCAUUCAGUCACUCACUCAUUCAUUCACUCACUCCUUCAUUCCGUCACUCACUCCUUCAUUCAGAGAUCAGACACUAGGUCAGGCAUCUGUCACACAGUGGUGAGUGACUGACUCUGCUGUGAAACAUCAACAGGAACCACAGAUGAGGAAACUGAGGCUCAGAGAGGUCAUGUGACUUGUCCAAGUCACACAGCAUGCAGUGAACGUGGGUCGGUGCGAGGCAGGCCUCCGGGGACUAUGCUUGCCCUGUGCAGGACCGAGUAUCUCUGCACUUCGGCCCCAUCUCAGGGCCCCUCUCUUCCUGAGGUGGCCCUGCCUCCACGUGCGGGCCUGUGGGCAGAGCUAAUGGGCCCCAUAUUCUGCCUUCAGCACUCAGGGCACCCCAGACUGGCUGCCCCUUCAAGGAUUUGACGGCCCGUCCUGGGUGCUCAGACAGUGGGGCAGGCAGGGGGCAGCGCAUGCCCGGUCUUGGGUUCCCAUCCCUGCCCAGGCUCUUGGCAAAGCCCCCUGGUUCUGGCCGGUGUGGGUUUCAGCAGGCCUGGGGCCCCUUUGAAGUGGGGAGAUCCAAUCCCCCAGACCCUGGCCUGCCCCCGGGAACUCCAGGAGUGCAGGCAUCUCCUUUUCACUCAGAAACACCACCUGGCCCCAGCCUCUGGGUAACUCAAGCCCACAGUGGUGCUGGCUGGCUCCAGCUGGGUGUGGGUGGCAGCUCCUGGUGAGGGGUGUCCCGCUGCAAGCCUGGGCCCCUGCCCUCCAGUACUCCCUCUCCAUGGACCCCAGGCCUCAGCAGGGAGUCCAGGCUCUGCUCCUGACCCUCUGCCCUCAGCUCUCCUUUCAACCUGCCCCGUUUUAGCUCUGGCCUCUCGUCCUUGAUCUGGGCCCUCCUGUCCACUCCUGCCCACUCCCCCAGACCCUCUCAGGCCUUUGUCUAAGCAGUGCCCCUGCCCAGAUGCCCCCGCCUCCUCCCCCACCCUCCCAAUUCCUACUCACUUCUAAAGGGAGACCAUUGGCAGGGGGGUCAGCAGGGUCUGGACUUGAAUCCUGGCUCUAGCACUUCUGGCUAUAAAAUGGGGUGAUCACAGCUCUGGCCUCAAAGGCUUGAGGCCUGGAGGCUGGACAGAACCGCACACACUAAGCCCGCAGACGCUGGCUCUGAAUGAAGUCACUGCUCCUCCAGGCUCCUCUCCAGCCUCCCUCUUCCAAGAAUUGCCCUUUCAGUUAUGUGUGUGUCCACCGGUGAAGCAGGAAUGAUCUUGGGAGCCCUCACUGGGGGGCUGUCCCCCAACACCGGGUUCUGGACAGCUCAGCACAGAUGGCCCUGCUGGGUCAGAGCUCUGCGCCCCGGCUCCCCUCCCUGGCCCAGCUCCCUGGGCCCUCCGGCCUCAGUUUCGAGGGGCUGGGGCUGCUGACCUCUCAGGCCGCCCGGGCUCCCAUCUUCUGUGACUCGGGACCUCUGGCCGGCAGUAGACUUGGCUGUGGCCCUGUGGUCUCCUCGGUCUCCCUGCUGCCGACCUGCCCAGAGGUGGGCGUGUUUAACUCCCCUGUUAGGAUGUUUCUCUUGUCGGGGUGGGGCUGCACCUUCUAAACAGGCAGGAACCUGGCCUCUUCUGGUUUCUACCUGCGAGGGGCAAGGCCCACGGUGAGGUGGGGUAGAGGCAUCUGCCCUUUCGUCCCCUUGUCCUGUCCUGGCUGGGUCCCUGGCCCCCAGUGCCCUUGGGAAGCGGUCAGCAUUGGACGAGUUGUGAGGGUAGGCUGCACACUUGCUCCAUCCUGGCCUUGGCCUGGCGGUGCCUGUGUGUGGCCUCUGCUGGCUGGGCACUGGGUGACUGGACAGGCAUGGGGAGCAGGUGUGGGCGGGGCAGGCUGGGCAGCUGUCCCCCUCUCCUGCAUCAUCUGUCCCUCCCUGAGGAGCUGGCAGCUUUAGGGAUGGUGCAGAGGCAACGGCAAUGACCGCAGAGGACUGUGUGGACACCGCCUUGACCUCAUGGCUGCCCUUUGUGGCCAGUGCUUACUCUUGUUACAGGUGGGAACAGAGGUUUGCAGAGGGGGUCAGUCCCCAUGUGGUGAGGGCAGCACGGUGUGACGUCUUUCGGGAGGAGCUUGUAGCGGCCGGUUGUGACCAGGGCGGAGGGAGGGAGCGGGGUUUGGCUGAGGGUAGCAGGCACAGGGGUCUAAGAAGCCCCUCCAAGGACGUGACCCUCGGCCAUGUGUGGCCAGGCCGUGGGUAAGGGUCCUUCAGGUAUGGCGUGGGGGAUGGGUCCCCCAGCUGGGAGGCGCGGUGGGGCUGGGGUGGCGAGCAGGCUGGCGAGGGGGCAGCCAGUGGGGGUCUUCUGGCGGAUCAGGGAUGCCGUGGACAUACACCCCCUAGGCAACCCCCUUUCCUAGACACCGAUCAGGAGGCAAGAUGUAGGUGCUGCUAGGUGGACCAGGCUGUGAUGGGCAGCCAGGGUCCAGCCUGACCAGGUGUGGACGGGGAAACUGAGGCUUCCAGGAGACUGGGCUGUCUAAGGCAGAGCCUGGAGUAGGACCCUGUCCCCACCCCCGUG